rnacentral:RNase_P_RNA from 1 species
CAGGUACAGCAGAUAGUUACUUGCCCCAAGCAAGAGGAAAGUCCGAGCUGCUAUAAGACAGUGUUCCAUUUAACGAAUGGCCGUAGCAAUACGAGGGAAAGUGCAACAGAAAAUAGACUACCGCAUGCCAAGGGAUGCGGAAAAGGUGAAACGGCGGUGUAAGAGACCACCAGUUUCUAUAGCAAUAUAGAAAGCUUGUAAACCCAACACGGCAGCAAGAAACAGAUGGUUAGCGUCUUAUAAUUGCUAUUGUUUCGCUAGAGGCACUAUGUAAAUGGUGCAGUAGAUUAAUGCUAUCACUACAAAACUCGGCUUAUGCUGUGCCU